AACGAACGCUGGCGGCGUGCCUAACACAUGCAAGUCGAACGGAUUGAAGGGGCUUGCUCCUUCAGUUAGUGGCGCACGGGUGAGUAACGCGUAGAUAAUCUGCCUGAUGAUCUGGGAUAACAGUUCGAAAGGACUGCUAAUACCGGAUAAGCCCACGUGGUCUUUGGACCGUGCGGGAAAAGGGGGGGACCUUCGGGCCUUCUGUCGUCAGAUGAGUCUGCGUACCAUUAGCUAGUUGGUAGGGUAAUGGCCUACCAAGGCUACGAUGGUUAGCUGGUUUGAGAGAAUGAUCAGCCACACUGGAACUGAGACACGGUCCAGACUCCUACGGGAGGCAGCAGUGGGGAAUUUUGCGCAAUGGGCGAAAGCCUGACGCAGCAACGCCGCGUGAGUGAUGAAGGCUUUCGGGUCGUAAAGCUCUGUCGAGGGGAAAGAAGUGUAUUGUGGUUAAUACCCGCGAUACUUGACGGUACCCCUAAAGGAAGCACCGGCUAACUCCGUGCCAGCCGCCGCCGUAACAC
rnacentral:rRNA from 1 species